CAAGUCGAACGAAGUCUUCGGACUUAGUGGCGGACGGGUGAGUAACACGUGGGAACGUGCCUUUAGGUUCGGAAUAACUCAGGGAAACUUGUGCUAAUACCGAAUGUGCCCUUCGGGGGAAAGAUUUAUCGCCUUUAGAGCGGCCCGCGUCUGAUUAGCUAGUUGGUGAGGUAAAGGCUCACCAAGGCGACGAUUAGUAGCUGGUCUGAGAGGAUGAUCAGCCACAUUGGGACUGAGACACGGCCCAAACUCCUACGGGAGGCAGCAGUGGGGAAUCUUGCGCAAUGGGCGAAAGCCUGACGCAGCCAUGCCGCGUGAAUGAUGAAGGUCUUAGGAUUGUAAAAUUCUUUCACCGGGGACGAUAAUGACGGUACCCGGAGAAGAAGCCCCGGCUAACUUCGUGCCAGCAGCCGCGGUAAUACGAAGGGGGCUAGCGUUGCUCGGAAUUACUGGGCGUAAAGGGAGCGUAGGCGGACAUUUAAGUCAGGGGUGAAAUCCCGGGGCUCAACCUCGGAAUUGCCUUUGAUACUGGAUGUCUUGAGUGUGAGAGAGGUAUGUGGAACUCCGAGUGUAGAGGUGAAAUUCGUAGAUAUUCGGAAGAACACCAGUGGCGAAGGCGACAUACUGGCUCAUUACUGACGCUGAGGCUCGAAAGCGUGGGGAGCAAACAGGAUUAGAUACCCUGGUAGUCCACGCCGUAAACGAUGAUUGCUAGUUGUCGGGAUGCAUGCAUUUCGGUGACGCAGCUAACGCAUUAAGCAAUCCGCCUGGGGAGUACGGUCGCAAGAUUAAAACUCAAAGGAAUUGACGGGGGCCCGCACAAGCGGUGGAGCAUGUGUUUAAUUCGAAGCAACGCGCAGAACCUUACCACCUUUUGACAUGCCCGGACCGCCACAGAAGAUGUGGCUUUCUCUUCGGGGGACUGGGGACACAGGUGCUGCAUGGCUGUCGUCAGCUCGUGUCGUGAAGAUGUUGGGGUUAGGUCCCGGUACGAGCGCACCCUUGCUCUAGUUGCCAGCAGGUUCGGCUGGCAUCUUAGGGGGACUGGCGGUGAUAAUCGGGAGGAGGUGGGGACGACGUCAGUCAUCAUGGCUAUGGGUAGGGCCUACCACGGUGCUACAAUGGUCGGUACGAGGGACGCGAAGUCCGGAGGCGGACCAUCUCUAAAGGCGGACUUAGCCGGAUAGGACUGGCACCUCGAUCUUGGAGCGAUCGGUGAUGCGAAUAACAAGUGCGCCGAUUAC
rnacentral:rRNA from 1 species